rnacentral:lncRNA from 1 species
UAAACGGUCAUCGAUAAAAAUCACUUACUGAAAUUAGCUUUCUUCUACUCCUCGGAUAAUAUUGAGUCAGCCCUGGGGGAGAGAGGAGGUGGAAACAUGCUGCACCCUACAGAACUGCUACCUGGGCACUCACAAAGCCCUCCUGCUUGCUUCGGCUAAGUUUGGAGGAAGGCAGCAAGGCAGACAAAACAAGACUCACAGUGGUAACCCUCUAGCCCAUGCCUUGCAGGAGAGCAAAGCUGGAGACAACCGGCAGAGGAACAGCAAAGCUCUUGACUGUUUCCAGGCCCCGUGGUUCACAGCCCUCGUACGUGUGGUCCCCCUGGAGCACUGCUGGGAGUAAGCCGAGCCCUGAGCUGCCCAUAGGAUGUCCUGGUGCCAAAUGGUGUGGGGGUCCUGCUGGGUUUUCUGCUUAUACCCCCAAAAUCAGAGGCAGGCAGCGUGUCUUCUGCUUCUCAGGCCCUGGAAGAACCACAUUUGGGAUGUGUGUGAGCUCUAGGAAGAAAACUGGAGUGGAGGCAAGUGUUAUGAGUGGCUUUGGUGCUCAGCUGGAGGGUGAAAGGAGACAAGGCUUCGAUGUAAUGCUACGGAGCUGGGCUGGAUAGCAGGUAACCACUGAGAUAUUUAACUCUGUAACAGUGCUGGCAAGAAUUUCAGAUGAAAACACCACCUUCUGUACUUCCUAAUGACAUGAUAAAUCACAGUGAUUGAGCACAGAUCCCCUUUAGAGACAGCCUCAUGAACCACCCUGCCCAGGCUUUUCCCACUGACCAGUCAUGGUUUGUCACCAGCUGCUGCCCUGCAGUGUGGGGACAUUGAGAGUUAAAGCUGAGCCAACAGCUUUCGACUCGUUUCAAUGUGCAGAGUACCAGGCAUUUUCUUGCAGACUCCCACACAGAGAAUUUAAGCCUUCUGACAAGAAAUGUGCAUUUCUUUUUUUUACGUUUCAAAGACCUAUCCGUAAUUCGUAGCUCACCAGGGUCUGCAGGGCUGAGGCUGAGAAGUGCUGCAUCAAAGGAGCUGAGCACUGAAGUCACGGCUCAGAAGGAAAUGAGGGUCUAAAGUCCAAAACUGGAAACUUCCCAGGGCUCCCUACUCACCUCCCACCUAAUGCUGUGAGUACCUCUUCUCAGUCUGGUUGAUCUUGGAGUCUUUAGGGUGGCUGGAGGUUCUACCUCUGCCUUGGUCUUAGCAGCCUGGAGUUUAUCUAAUGACGGGCUGAUCAGGACAAAGAAAUCAAAUGCAUGCACGUCUCUGCUCAGCUGGUCAGCCUCUGCAGUGUAAGCUUAUGGGAUGAGACCUCCUUGGAAAAUCCAGCUGUGGUUCUGUCCCUUGGCCAUGGAGCUGCAGGACACGAUGUCCUGACUCUCCUGCUGCUAAGGCUUGUGUUGAAACACUUGCCCAAGAGAAUAAGCAGCCUGGCCCGCUUCCCUUUUGUUACACAGCCUGAAAGAUCCCCGCCACAACUCUACCUCUGAAACAAGGCCACUGUGCAAAAAGUCAAGACUGAUGGGCAAGGAAAGCAAUGAGUGGCACAAGGGUCAGCUGCAGUGCUUGCUGCUCAUCAUCCCAGCACCUGGGGACUUUGUCUCUCUCUGGGCACCG